UACGUAGGGCGCAAGCGUUGUCCGGAAUUAUUGGGCGUAAAGAGCUCGUAGGCGGUUUGUCGCGUCUGCUGUGAAAACCUAAGGCUCAACCUUGGGCUUGCAGUGGGUACGGGCAGACUAGAGUGCGGUAGGGGGUGACUGGAAUUCCUGGUGUAGCGGUGGAAUGCGCAGAUAUCAGGAGGAACACCGAUGGCGAAGGCAGGUCACUGGGCCGCAACUGACGCUGGAGGAAGCGGAAAAGCAUGGGGGAGCGAACAGG
rnacentral:rRNA from 1 species